rnacentral:rRNA from 1 species
UUAGGAAUAUUCGUCAAUGGGGGAAACCCUGAACGAGCAAUGCCGCGUGAAGGAUGACGGUCCUAUGGAUUGUAAACUUCUGUUGUUAGGGAAGAAUUACCUAUGUAGGAAAUGACAUAGGAGUGACGGUACCUUUCAAGAAAGCUCCGGCUAACUACGUGCCAGCAGCCGCGGUAAUACGUAGGGAGCAAGCGUUAUCCGGAUUUAUUGGGUGUAAAGGGUGCGUAGGCGGCUAGAUAGGUCUAUGGUUUAAGUCCGAAGCUUAACUUCGGUUCGCCAUAGAAACCGUCUAGCUUGAGUAUGGUAGAGGCAAGUGGAAUUUCUAGUGUAGCGGUAAAAUGCGUAGAUAUUAGAAGGAACACCAGUGGCGAAGGCGACUUGCUGGGCCAUCACUGACGCUGAGGCACGAAAGCGUGGGGAGCAAAUAGGAUUAGAUACCCUGGUAGU